rnacentral:rRNA from 2 species
CCUACGGGAGGCAGCAGUGGGGAAUAUUGCACAAUGGGGGAAACCCUGAUGCAGCGACGCCGCGUGAAGGAAGAAGUAUCUCGGUAUGUAAACUUCUAUCAGCAGGGAAGAAAAUGACGGUACCUGACUAAGAAGCCCCGGCUAACUACGUGCCAGCAGCCGCGGUAAU